rnacentral:rRNA from 1 species
UACGGAGGAUGCAAGCGUUAUCCGGAAUGAUUGGGCGUAAAGCGUCCGCAGGUGGCUGUGUAAGUCUGCUGUCAAAGAGCGAAGCUCAACUUCGUAAAGGCAGUGGAAACUACGCGGCUAGAGUGCGUUCGGGGCAGAGGGAAUUCCUGGUGUAGCGGUGAAAUGCGUAGAGAUCAGGAAGAACACCAGUGGCGAAGGCGAGUCCCUGGACAACACCUGACACUGAGGCGCGAAAGCUGGGGGAGCAAACAGG